GCCUUUGUGGUGUAACUGUAGCACACUCGGCGCAUAUUCGAGAGGUCUAGGUUCGAGUCCCGCCGAAGGCA
rnacentral:tRNA from 1 species